CAUAGUCCAGUUGCUGCAGCAAAAGUUGCUUGAGUCUUUGAUAGGAGAGGACACUUGAAAGCAGGAAAUGAGAAACACAUUUUGAUCUUUAUGUAGGAGCUCAUUGUUCCUGACUCUCUCCUGGGAUAAAGGACAGGGAAGAGUGGACUUUUUUGCACUUCUAGUUCCUUCUCCCUGUAGCUGUAGUCGUAGCAAGUAAAGGGGUUGUACUGAUGCUUUUUAAGGCAUAUUAUCAACAUACAGCCAUGACUUGUCCAGAGAAUCUCACCUGACAAAAACUCAGAGAAGAAAGAGAAAGAAGAUGAAAUGGCUGGUUUUCAGAUGUGUAUUCUCAUUUUAUGGAAGACAUGUUGCCAGAGUAAAGCACAAUAUAUUCAUCUUGAAAUGUAAUACUGAGAAGAUAUGGAAGUUAUGGAAGUUGUGGCCUUCAGAAUUGACACUUACGGAGAGACUAGAACAGCGUGGGUUUUCAGGUCAUUAAUGCUGAGUCUGGAGAAAAGAACAGUGGCUCCCAUGAACAAGGGUUGACAAAUGUAACACACUUGGUUAUAUUUGAAUUUCAGGUAAAUGAUGAAUUGUUAUUUGUAUAUACUCCAGUAAUUGCUUACACAUAUUAUACACAGAUAUAAAAACAUUGCAUAGCUAUACUAAAAAGUUAUUUGUUGUUUACCCCAAAUUUAAAUGUAACUUAUGUUUUCUCUAUUUUAUGUCACAAAUCUGCCACAACUACCAUAGAACUAUUGUGUAAUUUGGGACAACAUGUUACAAACAUGGGAAAACAGAAUAAAAGAAAAAAUAUCAAAGGUUUUAUAAAGGCUGAGUGCUGUGACUUAUGCCUGUAAUUUAAGCAUUUUAGGAGGCAGCAGUGGGAGGACUGAGCCCCAGAGUUUGAGACCUGCCUGGGCAACAUAAUGAGAACCCAUCUUCACAAAAAAAUUUCAAAAAUUAGCCAGGCAUUGUACCACCUGCCUGUAGCUCUGGCUACUUGUGAGGCUGAGGCAGCAAGUUCACUUGAGCCUACACGGUCAAGGCUUCUGAGACCCCUGAUCAAACCACUGCACUCAUUCCUGGGUGUCAGAGUGUGAACUUGUCUCAAAAAAAAUCAAAACAUGAGAUGCAGCAAACUACUGAGAGAAAUUCACAGCAGUAAACACCUACAUUAAAAAUAAACAAUUCUAAAUUAAUAACCUAAUGUUUGGCAAAAAUAGUUAAGGGCUAAUUAACUACUCAUCACACCUUGGAGAAAGAAUAUCAGUGCGGCAAGCAAAAGUCAUGUAGAAUAUCUAAGAGAAAAGACUGAGGAGUGAGGUGCCUGGGGGAUUCGGGCUUUGAAAAUUAUCCACAUAUUCCUGAGAAUCCAGAAGCCCAUAAGCAUGUUCAGGGUCAAUCAAGGGACAGGCAAAUGCUCACAAAGACCUACGAAGCUGUUAUCUCUCAUGUCUGCUUUACCUCCAAGCACUGCACAAGCAGGAAGAAAAGAAAACAGCAAAGUUGUAAUCUUUCUGGCUAAGUAAACCCAACUGCAAGAACUAGUAGAUUUAUAUUUGAUGUGAGCAGGCAUUUGAGAAAAUCUCUGUCAAAUAGCUAGCUCACAUGAAGCUAAUAAAGCAGAGAUUUUUAUUGCUAAACACGACAAAAGGAUGAUAUUUUAAAAAUAAUUUUGAAAACUCACCAAACAAACAAGUAAAAUUUACAAUAAGCAACAAAAAAACCCAACGGGAUGAGAGAGAAUAUUAUUUCAGGGUUGUUGUAAUAGAAAAAGUCUAGUUUUCAGCAACAGCAAUGAAAUACAAAGCGUGCAAAUAAAUUAAUGAAAAAAUAAUGGCCCACUAAUAAGAUAACAGAUAUUAACAGAAACAGUCCUAGAGGAAUCGUAGGCAUUGAAAAAUCUAGAAAAAGUCUUUAAAUUACCUGUCUUAAAUGUGCUGCAAAGAUAAAUAACAUCAAAAGGAAAAACAUUUCAGAAGAAUAGUGUCUCAUCAAAUAGAAAAUAUUAAUAGAGAUAGAGAUUAUAAACUGAAGCCAAACUCUAAAGUUGAAAAUUAAGAUAACUAAAAUAAAAAAUUCACCACAAAGGUUCAACAAAAGAUUUAAGUAGACGAAAGACACAACCAGCAAGCUUGAGGUCACUUCAAUUCGUAUUAUCCCAACUAGCAGAAAUAAAAAAUAAUGAAUAAAGAUGAACAGAGCCUAAGAUAACAAUGGGAUACUAUAAAAUGUGCCAUUACAAGCAUUAUGAAAACUCCCGAAAGAAGGGAGAAAGAUAAAAUGGGGCAGAAAGAACAUCUGAAGAAAUAAUGGCUAAAAAGUUCCCAAGCAUGAUGAAAUACGUGAAUCUACACAUUCCAAAAUCUCAUUGAAUUCAUAGUAUAAACUCAAAGAACUCUACACCAAGACAAAUUACAAUAAAACUUUCAAAAGCUAAAGAGACAACUUUGAAGAAAGUUAUGGAGAAAAGACUACUAUUUGCAAUGCAUCUACACUGACAUUAACAACUCACUAAAAACUAGAGUCCAGAAUAUAAUUUCUCACUAAAAACUACGGAGUCCAGAAUAUGAUAGGACAAUAUAUUUAAAGUGUAGAAACAAAAAAAAAAAGCCAACAAAGAACUCUAUUUUCAGCAAAACUGCUCUUCAAAGAUGAAGGACAUCCUUGAAGACCUUUGAAGACACUAAGAGCUAUAUAGAUUAAAACAAAUUUAACAGCUUGUCACUAGUAGACCUGGUAUGCAUUAAAUGACAAAGGUUAUCUUUUGGGUUGAAAUGAAAUGACAAACUAGGUAAUAAUGCAAGGCCAUAUGAAAAAAUAAAGAAUGCCAGUAAAAAUGAGUACAUGGCAAAAUAUAAAUGCCACUAUUAAAGAAUAUUUUGUAACUUUUAUCUAUUGUUCUUUUUUACAUGUAAUUUAAAAUACUAAUGCAUAAAAUAAUUAUAAAUUUUUGUUAAUGUCAUACAAUGCAUAAAGAUGUAAUAUGUGACAAAACAACAUAACAUUGGAGGAGCAGAUCUCUAUUGAAACAGCUUGUAAAAUAAAACUGAAUUAUGAGCAGUAUUAAUUUAAAGUACAGUUACACAGUGAUGAGAUUAAUUGUCAUCCUUAAGGUAGCCACUAAAAAUACAACUAAAGAAAGAAGUGAAAGAGGAAAUGAGAAGAGAAUCAAAACUGUUUUGGAAAAAUACUAGAACAUUAAAGAUGUCAGUAAUAUAAGAGUUAAUUAACAAAAAUAUACAAGACUUUAGAAAACAACUAGAAAAAUGGCAGAAGUGUGCCCUUCCUUAUAAAUAGUUUAAAUAGAAAUUAACAUCUACAAUUACAAUGCAAAGAUUGGCAGAUGGUUUAAAAAUAAACAAAAACCUGAACUAACUUUAUGUUAUCUAUAGGAGAAUCUCUUUAGUCCUAAACUCACAAAUGGGUUGAAAGUGAAAGGAUGGGUAAAAAGAUUCCACACAAAUAGUAAGCAAAAUAAGCUGGGGUGGUUACCCUUAGACAAGAUAGGCAUUAAGACAACAUUGCUAUAAUUAAUUGACAUAGGAAAUUUUAUGUUAAAAAAUUAUAAAUCUAUCAAGAAGAUAAAAUAGUUUUAAAUAUGCAUGUACCUAACAAAGACCCCAAUAUAUGAAGCACAAAUGGCAGAAUGGUAGUAGAAGAAAAUUCUCAAUGUGAACUGCUGACUUUAAUAUACCAACUAGACCUAACGGACAAAUUCAGAAACACCUAAUCAAAAACCUUGAAAUGAGCAAAAAUUGAUUGCAUUUUCACAUUGUUUUCAAGCAAGCAAUUUAACCACCUUGCUAUUUUAUGGCAUGCUUAUUUUUUAAAAAAAAGUUAUGAUGAAAUAUGCAUAACAUCAUACUCAAUACAAAGUUUCUGGUAUAUUUAUAAUUAUGCAACUAUAGCCAUGGUAUAACUUUAAAAUAUUUCCACUAUCAGGACUAGACAAUCAUUACUGAUUUCCCUUUUAUGGACAUUCCAUUUUAUCACCUUUAUUGUUUGGUUUGGUUUCGUUUUUGAGAUGGAGUCUCUGUCAUGCAGGCUUGAGUGCAGUGGUGCGAUCUCAGCUCACUGCAACCUCUGCCUGCCUCGCGGGUUCAAUAGAUUCUCCUGACUCAGCUUCCUGAGUACCUGGGAUUACAGGCGCCCACCACUGCACCUGGCUAAUUUUGUUUUUAGUAGAGACAUGGUUUCACCAUGUUGGCCAGGCUGCUCUCGAACUCCUAACCUCAGGCAAUCCACCUGCCUCAGCCUCCCAAAGUGCUAGAAUUAAACGUGUGAGCCACCAUGCCUGGUCCAUUUUUAUUACCUCUUUAUUAUUGUGGUAUGAUUACUAUUUUGUAUAAAUGGGAUGAUACACUGUAUUAUGUUUUGUGUCUGGUUUAUUUCACUUAAUGCAUGUGAGGUCAGUUAUGUCAUUUUUUUUUUUUUACUAAUUUUUUGUAUAUUUUAGAAAAUGCAUUUAGAAGAGAAUAAAAAACUUUUAAAAUAACUUCCGUAUUUCUCAAUGUUGUGCAUUUUUUUCAAAAAAUAAGCAAAUAUUUUAUUUUUUUGGUUUCUUUGAGACAGAUCUUAUUCUAUCACCAUGGCUGGAGUGAAGUAACAUGAUCAUGGCUUACUGCAGAUUCUACCUCCUAGGCUCAAGUAGUCUUCCCACCUCAGGCUACCAAGUAUCUGGGACCACAGCUGCACACCACCAUGCCCAACUAAUUUUUAAAUUUUGUGUAUAGAUGGGGUCUCAUUAUGUUGCAUGGGCUUGUCUCAAACUCCUGCGCUCAUGAGAUUCUCCUGCCUAGGCCUCCCAAAGUGCUGGGAUUACAGGUGUGAGCCACCACACCCAGCCUAUUUUUUUCUAAAGACAGGGUCUCAUUCUGUCCUCAGCUCAAGUGCUGUGGCGUAAUCAUAGCUGAGGGCAGACUCAAUGUACUGAGCUCAAGUGAUCCUCCCUCACUGACCCAAAGUGCUGGGAUUACAGGCAUCAGCCACCAUGUCCAGCCUGAAAUAAUAUUUUAAUUAAACAUUAAGAAAAAUAGAAGAAAUAAGAUCUAGUGUUUCGUAACACAAUAGGACAACUAUAGUUAACCG
rnacentral:lncRNA from 1 species